CCUGCCUUUAGGUUCGGAAUAACUCAGAGAAAUUUGAGCUAAUACCGGAUAAUGUCUUCGGACCAAAGAUUUAUCGCCUUUAGAUGGGCCCGCGUUAGAUUAGAUAGUUGGUGGGGUAACGGCCUACCAAGUCGACGAUCUAUAGCUGGUCUGAGAGGAUGAUCAGCCACACUGGGACUGAGACACGGCCCAGACUCCUACGGGAGGCAGCAGUGGGGAAUAUUGGACAAUGGGCGAAAGUGAUCCAGCAAUGCCGCGUGAGUGAUGAAGGCCUUAGGGUUGUAAAGCUCUUUUACUAGGGAUGAUAAUGACAGUACCUAGAGAAUAAGCUCCGGCUAACUCCGUGCCAGCAGCCGCGGUAAUACGGAGGGAGCUAGCGUUGUUCGGAAUUACUGGGCGUAAAGCGCGCGUAGGGGCUUAUCAAGUCAGGGGUGAAAUCCCGGAGCUCAACUCCGGAACUGCCCUUGAAACUGGUUGGCUAGAAUAUUGGAGAGGUAAGUGGAAUUCCGAGUGUAGAGGUGAAAUUCGUAGAUAUUCGGAAGAACACCAGUGGCGAAGGGACUUACUGGACAAUUAUUGACGCUGAGGUGCGAAAGGUGGGGAGCAAACAGGAUUAGAUACCCUGGUAGUCCACGCCGUAAACGAUGAUAACUAGCUGUCCGAGCUCAUAGAGCUUGGGUGGCGCAGUAACGCAUUAAGUUAUCCGCCUGGGGAGUACGGUCGCAAGAUUAAAACUC
rnacentral:rRNA from 1 species